AAUGGCCGCAAGGCUGAUCCAGCCAUCCAGCGUGCAGGAAGAAGGCCCUAUGGGUUGUAAACUGCUUUUAUCAGGGAAUAAACCUCUGGAUUCACUCCGGAGCUGAAGGUACCUGAAGAAUAAGCACCGGCUAACUCCGUGCCAGCAGCCGCGGUAAUACGGAGGGUGCGAGCGUUAUCCGGAAUUACUGGGUUUAAAGGGUGCGUAGGCGGCUUUGUAAGUCAGGAGUGAAAGUUUGCGGCUCAACCGUAAAAUUGCUUCUGAUACUGCAUGGCUAGAAUUAGGAUGAGGUCAGCGGAAUGUGGCAUGUAGCGGUGAAAUGCAUAGAUAUGCCAUAGAACACCAAUUGCGAAGGCAGCUGGCUAGACCUGGAUUGACGCUGAGGCACGAAAGCGUGGGGAGCGAA
rnacentral:rRNA from 1 species